AGAGCUCAAAAGAACUAGUGAGAUCUCCUGUCCACUUUUUCUCCUCAGAGCCGAAAAUAUAUCUUUCUUUAUUUGGAUUAUAAUUACACAGAUGGCCUUGCCUUCAUUUCUGCUGCUACCCCCAGUUCCUGGCAGCAGCCUACAGAGGGGUCCAAGGUAGGGCUGGGCACGAGUCACCUGAACACAACCUUGGAUCUGUCA
ensembl:snoRNA